UACGUAGGGUGCAAGCGUUGUCCGGAAUUAUUGGGCGUAAAGAGCUCGUAGGCGGUUUGUCGCGUCUGCUGUGAAAACUCGGGGCUCAACUCCGAGCUUGCAGUGGGUACGGGCAGACUAGAGUGCGGUAGGGGAGACUGGAAUUCCUGGUGUAGCGGUGGAAUGCGCAGAUAUCAGGAGGAACACCGGUGGCGAAGGCGGGUCUCUGGGCCUGCACUGACGCUCAUGCACGAAAGCGUGGGGAGCAAACAGG
rnacentral:rRNA from 1 species